CCUACGGGUGGCAGCAGUGAGGAAUAUUGGUCAAUGGGCGCGAGCCUGAACCAGCCAAGCAGCGUGAAGGAUGACUGCCCUACGGGUUGUAAACUUCUUUUAUAAGAGGAUAAUGUGAGGCACGUGUACCUUUUUGUAAGUACUGUACGAAUAAGGAUCGGCUAACUCCGUGCCAGCAGCCGCGGUAAUACGGAGGAUCCAAGCGUUAUCCGGAUUUAUUGGGUUUAAAGGGUGCGUAGACGGUUUUUUAAGUCAGAGGUGAAAGUUCGGGGCUCAACGGCAGACGUGCAUCUGAUACUGGAAGACUAGAGAAUAGUUGCGGUAGGCGGAAUGCAUGGUGUAGCGGUGAAAUGCUUAGAGAUCACACAGAACUCCGAUUGCGAAGGCAGCUUACCAAACUACGUCUGACAUUGAUGCACGAAAGUGUGGGUAUCAAACAGGAUUAGAUACCCGGGUAGUC
rnacentral:rRNA from 1 species